GCCGGGGUGGCCGAACGGUUCAGGCGACAGCCUGCAGAGCUGUUCUAUGUGGGUUCAAUUCCCAUCCCCGGCU
rnacentral:tRNA from 1 species